UUUAGAGCUGCUUUUCUUCAGCCAGAACUGGGGCUUUUAUCAAGGUGGAGGGAAUCAUGAUUAGCUACAAAU